UCUUCUCCAUGCCUCCUCUUCUUUUUUGUCUUUCCCAUGCCCAAGGGUUAGGUGUCCCACUCUUCUACAUGCCAAAGGUGAAGGUAAUCUUCUUCCAGAGUGAAGAACAAGAAGAAAAAGACUGCAAAUCAAGGAGUUGAUUCUACAGUCUAGAUCAAGGAGUUGAUCGAGAUUCUAAAGGCUAAGAUUUUACUUGGAGAAGAAGAAUCUACUACAAGA
rnacentral:lncRNA from 1 species